rnacentral:antisense_RNA from 1 species
CUUCAACGAGCCGAGUAGCAGCGGGCGUUCGGCGGGUCGCUGCUGUCCGUAGGUGGCGAUCAGGGCCUGGGCCUC